UCGGCUUCACAGGUUUGCGCUAUCGGCCUGCCUAAACUACUCUUCAGCACCUACUCGCGACCCUGCACGUGCAAGUAACCGGCCUGCAGCGUGCGUCAUCGGGCUCCCGGCGUGAUUCUGACAGCUCACUGCUGCCCUCGGAUCUGCGCCUGCGCCUGGUCGCCAGCAGCUUGGCUAUAUAAACGCCCUACGGACCACUCAACUGAAUUCAUUCAGCAGCAGCAGUGGCGGUGUAGCAGUGUGUGCAUGCUUGACUCUUCCGUCUCGGCUUCACAGGUUCGUGCACAUUUUUCCCUGUCUGUAUAUUGCUAUUCAUUUAGUUUAUAAUUUAUUGCCACUGCUGCUGCUGCUGCUUCCGGUGUUGUCUUUCAACCAUGCCAACUGUCGCUGAACUGUCGAAACGCGUGGAACAACUAGAAAUACUUUCAAAGACAAACUUGAUAACCUGCUUGACAAGAUAACGACAACUGUAGUAUCCAAGCUAGAUUCCCAGCCUUCCUUGAUCAUUAAAGGUCUAAAGGACGAGAUAGAGGGACUAACAAGCAGUCUUGAAUUUCUGAACCGGACUGUUGAAUCCCUCAAAACAGAAAAGGAAGAACUAACUGCAAUGAACAAAUCCCUAAUCGCGCAUAACGAAUCUUUCGAAAAACUAAUUGGUGACAUGGAACAGUACUCACGAAAAAACAACCUGGAAAUCAAAGGCAUUCCGUGUACGCAGGGUGAAGACUGCAUGACAAUUCUUCAAACUAUUGCCUCUAAAAUAGAAUAUCCGGUUUCUGCUAUGAUAUUGAUGUCAUUCAUCGUGUUCCGUCUGCUUCUGAUACAAAGCACUUGCUUGUCCGAUUUCACUCUCGCGCCUUGAAAACCGAGUUCAUAGUCAAAGCCCGAAAGGCACGCCUUAAACUAGUGACAUUGGAUUCAGCAAAGCACGAGGCAAAGCUGUUUUCGGCAAUGACCACCUCACUCCACAGAAUAAGCAAUUGUUCAGCAAAGCCUUGCAACUCAAGAAAGAAAAAAAAGUGGCUUUUUUUGUGGACUGAUGACUGCGUCAUCAAGGCGAGGCAAUCUACUGAUAGCAAAGUUUUUCGCAUAAAGAGUGACUCGGACCUUGCGAUUUUUGGUUAAUUUGACCAGGUUUUCUCGUUUUUUUUGUUUCCUCGGUUCCUCGUAUUCUGAUCUGAUCGCAUGUCGUACAUUUCCGUUAACGAUGUCCAAUCCCACUUUUCGCAUAAGCAUCAUUCUGCGAUUCAUUUCAAUUCACGCAGUCUUCUCAAACAUUUUCGCGAUUAUCAGAUACUAUUGUCUUCUUGUCUUCAUUCUUUCUGAAUUAUAUGUG